rfam:Candidatus Accumulibacter sp. BA-93 contig000008, whole genome shotgun sequence.
GAAGUCCCGUCCGGGGAGUUGUCCGUACGCCCCGCGGUAGCAUGAGGAAGCGGCGUCGUGGUGACGCGGGGUCGUGAGUUUUCAAGCAGCAAGGGAGCAGGCCGUAACGCAAGUGAACCUAUGAGUAGCCUCGUAAAUUAUGCGGAGAAGCCGACCCUGUGGCCAGAAGGGGAAGGCCGUUGGAUGGACGCUGGAAUAACGGAAGUGGCGUCAAUCGACUCCCGGGGUAGCAGGGAU